GAUGAACGCUGGCGGCGUGCCUAAUACAUGCAAGUCGAGCGAACAGACGAGGAGCUUGCUCCUCUGACGUUAGCGGCGGACGGGUGAGUAACACGUGGAUAACCUACCUAUAAGACUGGGAUAACUUCGGGAAACCGGAGCUAAUACCGGAUAAUAUAUUGAACCGCAUGGUUCAAUAGUGAAAGACGGUUUUGCUGUCACUUAUAGAUGGAUCCGCGCCGCAUUAGCUAGUUGGGAAGGUAACGGCUUACCAAGGCAACGAUGCGUAGCCGACCUGAGAGGAUGAUCGGCCACAAUGGAACUGAGACACGGUCCAGACUCCUACGGGAGGCAGCAGUAGGGAAUCUUCCGCAAUGGGCGAAAGCCUGACGGAGCAACGCCGCGUGAGUGAUGAAGGUCUUCGGAUCGUAAAACUCUGUUAUUAGGGAAGAAAAAAUGUGUAAGUAACUAUGCACGUCUUGACGGUACCUAAUCAGAAAGCCACGGCUAACUACGUG
rnacentral:rRNA from 1 species